AGAGUUUGAUCCUGGCUCAGAUUGAACGCUGGCGGCAGGCCUAACACAUGCAAGUCGAACGGUAGCACAGAGAGCUUGCUCUCGGGUGACGAGUGGCGGACGGGUGAGUAAUGUCUGGGAAACUGCCUGAUGGAGGGGGAUAACUACUGGAAACGGUAGCUAAUACCGCAUAACGUCGCAAGACCAAAGAGGGGGACCUUCGGGCCUCUUGCCAUCAGAUGUGCCCAGAUGGGAUUAGCUAGUAGGUGGGGUAAUGGCUCACCUAGGCGACGAUCCCUAGCUGGUCUGAGAGGAUGACCAGCCACACUGGAACUGAGACACGGUCCAGACUCCUACGGGAGGCAGCAGUGGGGAAUAUUGCACAAUGGGCGCAAGCCUGAUGCAGCCAUGCCGCGUGUAUGAAGAAGGCCUUCGGGUUGUAAAGUACUUUCAGCGGGGAGGAAGGUGUUGCGGUUAAUAACCGCAGCAAUUGACGUUACCCGCAGAAGAAGCACCGGCUAACUCCGUGCCAGCAGCCGCGGUAAUACGGAGGGUGCAAGCGUUAAUCGGAAUUACUGGGCGUAAAGCGCACGCAGGCGGUCUGUCAAGUCGGAUGUGAAAUCCCCGGGCUCAACCUGGGAACUGCAUUCGAAACUGGCAGGCUAGAGUCUUGUAGAGGGGGGUAGAAUUCCAGGUGUAGCGGUGAAAUGCGUAGAGAUCUGGAGGAAUACCGGUGGCGAAGGCGGCCCCCUGGACAAAGACUGACGCUCAGGUGCGAAAGCGUGGGGAGCAAACAGGAUUAGAUACCCUGGUAGUCCACGCCGUAAACGAUGUCGACUUGGAGGUUGUUCCCUUGAGGAGUGGCUUCCGGAGCUAACGCGUUAAGUCGACCGCCUGGGGAGUACGGCCGCAAGGUUAAAACUCAAAUGAAUUGACGGGGGCCCGCACAAGCGGUGGAGCAUGUGGUUUAAUUCGAUGCAACGCGAAGAACCUUACCUACUCUUGACAUCCAGAGAACUUUCCAGAGAUGGAUUGGUGCCUUCGGGAACUCUGAGACAGGUGCUGCAUGGCUGUCGUCAGCUCGUGUUGUGAAAUGUUGGGUUAAGUCCCGCAACGAGCGCAACCCUUAUCCUUUGUUGCCAGCGGCUAGGCCGGGAACUCAAAGGAGACUGCCAGUGAUAAACUGGAGGAAGGUGGGGAUGACGUCAAGUCAUCAUGGCCCUUACGAGUAGGGCUACACACGUGCUACAAUGGCGCAUACAAAGAGAAGCGACCUCGCGAGAGCAAGCGGACCUCAUAAAGUGCGUCGUAGUCCGGAUUGGAGUCUGCAACUCGACUCCAUGAAGUCGGAAUCGCUAGUAAUCGUAGAUCAGAAUGCUACGGUGAAUACGUUCCCGGGCCUUGUACACACCGCCCGUCACACCAUGGGAGUGGGUUGCAAAAGAAGUAGGUAGCUUAACCUUCGGGAGGGCGCUUACCACUUUGUGAUUCAUGACUGGGGUGAAGUCGUAACAAGGUAACCGUAA
rnacentral:rRNA from 1 species